UGGCAUCACUCAACAAAUUCCAGUUGCCUGAACAAUGAUGGUCUACUGCGCAAGGAAUUACUAGUGAUUAUUUCCCCCUGAGAUUUGUCACAGUUUGUUUUGGAGUUCAUUACCAAUAAGAAUAAUAACUUAUUAGAGUCCUGUAUGUCAGAAUCUAUUAAUGCACACAUUUCAUGAAGAGAAGUAGUCACUACUGAUGUAAAAAUAGCAUGUGAUUUCUGCCAAGUUUUCCCAAGGUUGGUAAAGAACUAUCGGACUACUGAUGAAUGAUUUCCUGUUUAACCCAUAGAUACCCAUCUACUCUUAGUAGAUUUCCUAUUUAUUACCAAGGAUCAAAUGUAGAAGGAAAGGAAAGAAGGAUUCAAGUUUUCCCCAAGCAGAUGGAGGUCGAAAUUGGAUUGCUGCUGACUGUUGUCCCUUGUUAUGGCCUGUGGAGAUAUGACAAUUGAGAAGGAACUUAGAGGAAUGCCAAGUAGCAGAGCAUGAAGAGGUGGGGAUGACCCACUCACUGCCUUGGACACUUGAGUGCUGUAGCACUUGGGAAGAUGGAUAAAAAAGGGGACUUUCCUAGAAUAGCCUCAGAGAUACAUUCCCCCAAAUGAUCAAAUACUCAAAAAUUUUGGCUUGCCCUCUGAAAGACACACAGAUCCUGCCCACAUUGAUUAAAGCCAUCUUUCUAUCCAUGCCCGCCUACUUCACUGUCCUUCCCAUUACUGAUGUCAGGACUCUCUCUUAUCUCUCCAGGGAGGCUGAAACCCAACUAUAACUUGGGGAGUAAACUUUGUAGAGUUAUCUGAGGGUCUGAGAGAGAUGAAGUUUCCCUAUCUAGGGUCACAAAGCCUGAAAAUGUCUAAAGCAGAAUUGGAUCCCAGAUUAUCCUUGUUCCAAACUCAGUGUCUCUAUGUCUAAUCAAACAAUGAGUAUUGAUGAAGAA